rnacentral:rRNA from 1 species
UACGUAGGGUGCGAGCGUUAAUCGGAAUUACUGGGCGUAAAGCGUGCGCAGGCGGUUUCGUAAGCUGGAGGUGAAAUCCCCGGGCUUAACCUGGGAAUGGCCUUCAGGACUGCGAGGCUAGAGUGCGGCAGAGGGAGGUGGAAUUCCACGUGUAGCAGUGAAAUGCGUAGAGAUGUGGAGGAACACCGAUGGCGAAGGCAGCCUCCUGGGCCAGCACUGACGCUCAUGCACGAAAGCGUGGGGAGCAAACAGGAUUAGAUACCCUGGUAGUCCACGCCCUAAACGAUGUCAACUAGGUGUUGGGGAAGGUGACUUCCUUAGUACCGCAGCUAACGCGUGAAGUUGACCGCCUGGGGAGUACGGCCGCAAGGUUAAA